rnacentral:ncRNA from 23 species
AACCAUACUCUUAAUCAAGAUGUAGGGAAAUUGGUGAAAAUCCAAUACAGCCCCCGCUACUGUAAACAUAUCGGCCAUAAAUACCACUGAGAAAUUGGGAAGGUUUGGCUUUAAAGGUGUGAGUCAGGAAACCUGUCUUGAAAUAACUUCGGAGG